UCUAAGGAAGUCUGAGGAGGACAGAUGGUUUCGGGAAGGAGAGUUACGGAAUUGGUUUUGUGUGUAUAGCAUCUACUCUGAGGAGGAUAUCUAAAGCUAGAGAAAGGAGUCUCUGAGCUUAGUUGUAAGCCUGGGGACAAGGACUGUCUUGUUUGAAACAAUCUGUAAGCCACUCCAUAAGAGGUUAAUCUGUAAGCCACUUCCAAGUCCCACUACAUUCACUGGGGAUGUAGUUUCAGGCCUUCGUCCUUGCCAGAUAAAUUUGGAUAUAUCCUUUUGCCAAUUAGAUUGGGAUGGAUCGGAAAAGGAAAAGCAUUUUU